rnacentral:rRNA from 1 species
GACGAACGCUGGCGGCGUGCUUAACACAUGCAAGUCGAACGGAAAGGCCCUGCUUUUGUGGGGUGCUCGAGUGGCGAACGGGUGAGUAACACGUGAGUAACCUGCCCUUGACUUUGGGAUAACUUCAGGAAACUGGGGCUAAUACCGGAUAGGAGCUCCUGCUGCAUGGCGGGGGUUGGAAAGUUUCGGCGGUUGGGGAUGGACUCGCGGCUUAUCAGCUUGUUGGUGGGGUAGUGGCUUACCAAGGCAUUGACGGGUAGCCGGCCUGAGAGGGUGACCAGCCACAUUGGGACUGAGAUACGGCCCAGACGCCUACGGGAGGCAGCAGUGGGGAAUAUUGCACAAUGGGCGGAAGCCUGAUGCAGCAACGCCGCGUGCGGGAUGACGGCCUUCGGGUUGUAAACCGCUUUCGCCUGUGACGAAGCGUGAGUGACGGUAAUGGGUAAAGAAGCACCGGCUAACUACGUG